rnacentral:rRNA from 1 species
GACGAACGCUGGCGGCGUGCUUAACACAUGCAGGUCGAACGCUGAAGCUCAGCUUUUGUUGGGUGGAUGAGUGGCGAACGGGUGAGUAACACGUGAGUAACCUGCCUCCUUCUUUGGGAUAACGCCCGGAAACGGGUGCUAAUACUGGAUAUUCACUGGUCUUCGCAUGGGGGUUGGUGGAAAGGGUUUUUCUGGUGGGGGAUGGGCUCGCGGCCUAUCAGCUUGUUGGUGGGGUGAUGGCCUACCAAGGCUUUGACGGGUAGCCGGCCUGAGAGGGUGACCGGUCACAUUGGGACUGAGAUACGGCCCAGACUCCUACGGGAGGCAGCAGUGGGGAAUAUUGCACAAUGGGCGCAAGCCUGAUGCAGCGACGCCGCGUGAGGGAUGGAGGCCUUCGGGUUGUGAACCUCUUUCGCUCAUGGUCAAGCCGCAACAAUGGUUGUGGUGAGGGUAGUGGGUAAAGAAGCGCCGGCUAACUACGUG